rnacentral:misc_RNA from 1 species
UUUCCGUAGGUGAACCUGCGGAAGGAUCAUUACUGAGUGAGGGCCUCCCCGGCCCGACCUCCAACCCUUUGUGAACACAACUUGUUGCUUCGGGGGCGACCCUGCCGUUUCGACGGCGAGCGCCCCCGGAGGCCUUCAAACACUGCAUCUUUGCGUCGGAGUUUAAGUAAAUUGAACAAAACUUUCAACAACGGAUCUCUUGGUUCCAGCAUCGAUGAGAACGCAGC